AACGAACGCUGGCGGCGCGCCUAAUACAUGCAAGUCGAGCGAGAAGACGUAGCAAUACGUUUGUAAAGCGGCGAACGGGUGAGGAAUACAUGGGUAACCUACCCUCGAGUGGGGAAUAACUAGCCGAAAGGUUAGCUAAUACCGCGUACGCUCCUUGGACUUCGGUUCAGGGAGGAAAGCGAUACCGUGGGUAUCGCGCUCUUGGAUGGGCUCAUGUCCUAUCAGCUUGUUGGUGAGGUAACGGCUCACCAAGGCUUCGACGGGUAGCUGGUCUGAGAGGAUGAUCAGUCACACUGGAACUGAGACACGGUCCAGACUCCUACGGGAGGCAGCAGUAAGGAAUAUUGCUCAAUGGACCGAAAGGCUGAAGCAGCAACGCCGCGUGAGGGAUGAAGGG
rnacentral:rRNA from 1 species